rnacentral:rRNA from 1 species
GUGGGGAAUUUUGGACAAUGGGCGCAAGCCUGAUCCAGCAAUGCCGCGUGCAGGAAGAAGGCCUUCGGGUUGUAAACUGCUUUUGUACGGAACGAAAAGGCUCUGGCUAAUACCUGGAGCUCAUGACGGUACCGUAAGAAUAAGCACCGGCUAACUACGUGCCAGCAGCCGCGGUAAUACGUAGGGUGCGAGCGUUAAUCGGAAUUACUGGGCGUAAAGCGUGCGCAGGCGGUGCUGUAAGACAGGCGUGAAAUCCCCGGGCUCAACCUGGGAAUUGCGCUUGUGACUGCAGCGCUGGAGUGCGGCAGAGGGGGAUGGAAUUCCGCGUGUAGCAGUGAAAUGCGUAGAUAUGCGGAGGAACACCGAUGGCGAAGGCAAUCCCCUGGGCCUGCACUGACGCUCAUGCACGAAAGCGUGGGGAGCAAACAGGAUUAGAAACCCGUGUAGUCC